UACGUAGGGGGCAAGCGUUGUCCGGAUUUAUUGGGCGUAAAGAGCUCGUAGGUGGUUCGGUAAGUCGGAUGUGAAAUCUCCAGGCUCAACCUGGAGGGUCAUUCGAUACUGCCGUGACUAGAGGUCGGUAGGGGAGUGUGGAAUUCCUGGUGGAGCGGUGAAAUGCGCAGAUAUCAGGAGGAACACCCGUAGCGAAGGCGGCACUCUGGGCCGAUACUGACACUGAGGAGCGAAAGCGUGGGAGCGAACAGG
rnacentral:rRNA from 1 species